rnacentral:rRNA from 1 species
GGAAACGAAAAUGUAGGCAUAAGUAACGAUAAAAGGGGCGAGAAACCCCUUCGCCGAAAAACCCAGGUUUCCCCGGCCAUGCUAAUCAGCCGGGGGUCAGUCGGGACCUAACACGAACCCGGAAGGGGCAGUGGAUGGGCAACGGGUCAACAUUCCCGUACCCGCAUAUCGAUAAAAGUGACGGGGCAACUUAGUUGGUGCGUGCUGACGGAAUAGCACGUUGAAGCGCAAGCGAUAGUACACCAAGGCCACGGCCGCGGUGAUAAUCCAGCGGCGUUGCCUCCAAGAAAAGCGAGAUAUGCGGCCCGUACCGUAAACCGACACAGGUGGUCGGGAUGAGAAUUCUAAGGCGCUCGAGAGAUUCAUGGUCAAGGAACUAGGCAAAAUGGACGCGUAACUUCGGGAGAAGCGUCGCUCCCUUUCGGGGGAGCCGCAGUGAACUGGUCCAGGCGACUGUUUAUCAAAAACACAGGGCUCUGC